rnacentral:lncRNA from 1 species
GCAUCUUCUUGCUCCAGGAGCGGGGGUGGGGAGCGCAGCGCGGAGGAGGCAGCGCUGAGAUGACUCAACAGUGCGGCAUUUGGGGGCGCCGCGGAGGCUGGGACUGCGUAAGCGGCGAUAGGGUAGGACCCACAGCCUCCUCGCAGGCAUUCUUGGAGCUCGGUUCCGCGGUCGGUCCGGAUCUCCCGGGAAGUCUCGCCGGAGUCAGGCAGGCCUUAGGAAGAAGCUGCCUGAUGUGCAAGGUUUCAUAGGCCGUCAGAGGGGGCAUCCUGGAGGAGCCCUGGCAUCAGGAAAGUGAGCCCCCCAUGGCAGCCCGCAGGAAUGAACCAGUGCUCAGGGAUCACUUACAGGUGCCCUCUCCCCCAACAGCCAGAAAGGGAAAACAGAGCCGAGUUUGGCCACUGGGGCCUCCACAGCCCUCUGGAAGAAGGGGCUGACUGAUAGGAAGGCACUCCUCUGGUGUUCACUGGCCAGACCCCUGUGGGCUCAGAAGACUACCUAGACCCCAUGAAGAAAGACUCUAGACACA